AGUUCACAGGUGAUCAAAGGAUUCACUGCUCACUGGAUUCAAGUCGUUCAGAUGAGAUGAGUUCAGAGAAACUGUUCUCCACAAAACAGCUGGAUAUGAA